rnacentral:rRNA from 1 species
UACGUAGGGGGCGAGCGUUGUCCGGAGAUACUGGGCGUAAAGCGCACGCAGGCGGUCUGCUAAGUUUGGAGUGACAGUUGGUGGCUUAACUGCCAAAGUGCUUCGAAAACUGACAGACUUGAGGGCUUCAGAGGGACACGGAAUUCCGGGUGGAGUGGUGAAAUGCGUAGAGAUCCGGAGGAACACCAAAGGCGAAGGCAGUGUCCUGGGGAGUACCUGACGCUCAGGUGCGAAAGCCAGGGGAGCGAACAGG